GGUGCUAAUACCGCAUAAUAUCUGUAUACCGCAUGGUAGGCAGAUUAAAGGAGCGAUCCGCUUACGGAUGAGCCCGCGUCUGAUUAGCUAGUUGGUGGGGUAACGGCCUACCAAGGCGACGAUCAGUAGCCGGCCUGAGAGGGUGACCGGCCACACUGGAACUGAGACACGGUCCAGACUCCUACGGGAGGCAGCAGUGGGGAAUCUUCCGCAAUGGGCGAAAGCCUGACGGAGCAACGCCGCGUGAGCGAAGAAGGCCUUCGGGUUGUAAAGCUCUGUCAUCAGGGAAGAAGAGAGUGACGGUACCUGAGGAGGAAGCCACGGCUAACUACGUGCCAGCAGCCGCGGUAAUACGUAGGUGGCAAGCGUUGUCCGGAAUUACUGGGCGUAAAGAGCGCGUAGGCGGGCGCUUAAGUCAGGGGUGAAAACUGGCAGCUCAACUGCCAGCCUGCCUUUGAGACUGGGCGUCUUGAGGACAGGAGAGGAGAGCGGAAUUCCUAGUGUAGCGGUGAAAUGCGUAGAUAUUAGGAGGAACACCAGUGGCGAAGGCGGCUCUCUGGCCUGUAACUGACGCUGAGGCGCGAAAGCGUGGGGAGCGAACGGGAUUAGAUACCCCGGUAGUCCACGCCGUAAACGAUGGGUACUAGGUGUAGGAGGUAUCGACCCCUUCUGUGCCGUAGUUAACACAAUAAGUACCCCGCCUGGGGAGUACGGCCGCAAGGUUGAAACUCAAAGGAAUUGACGGGGGCCCGCACAAGCGGUGGAGCAUGUGGUUUAAUUCGACGCAACGCGAAGAACCUUACCAGGGCUUGACAUCGAGGGAAGGCUUGUGGAAACACGAGUCGUCACAAGCUUGCUUGUGACCCGAAGACAGGUGGUGCAUGGUUGUCGUCAGCUCGUGUCGUGAGAUGUUGGGUUAAGUCCCGCAACGAGCGCAACCCUUAUCUUUAGUUGCCAGCACGUGGAGGUGGGCACUCUAGAGAGACUGCCGGUGACAAACCGGAGGAAGGUGGGGAUGACGUCAAAUCAUCAUGCCCCUUAUGUCCUGGGCUACACACGUGCUACAAUGGCCGGUACAAAGGGAAGCGAUGGGGUGACCCGGAGCAAAUCCCAGCAAAGCCGGUCUCAGUUCGGAUUGUAGUCUGCAACUCGACUACAUGAAGUCGGAAUCGCUAGUAAUCGCAGGUCAGCAUACUGCGG
rnacentral:rRNA from 1 species